GACGAACGCUGGCGGCGUGCUUAACACAUGCAAGUCGAACGGUAAGGCCCCAGCUUGCUGGGGUACACGAGUGGCGAACGGGUGAGUAACACGUGGGUGACCUGCCCCUCACUUCGGGAUAAGCCUGGGAAACUGGGGCUAAUACCGGAUAGGACCGCACCGUGCGGGUGUGGUGGAAGGUUUUUCGGUGUGGGAUGGGCCCGCGGCGUAUCAGCUUGUUGGUGGGGUAAUGGCUUACCAGGGCGGCGACGGGUAGCCGACCUGAGAGGGGGGACGGCGACCCGGGAGCGGAGACACGGUCCAGAGGCCUAAGGGAGGCCGCAGUCGGGAAGGGUGGGCAAUGGGGGAAAGUCUGACGGAGCGGCGCCGCGCGAGUGAUGAAGGCCCCGGGAGGGUAAAACUCUGUUAUGGGGGAAAAACACAUGUCUCCGUAGCUGAGUAUUUCUUGACGGUAGCGGAAAAGAAAGCCACGGCUAACUACGUG
rnacentral:rRNA from 1 species